rnacentral:rRNA from 1 species
AUUGAACGCUGGCGGCAUGCCUUACACAUGCAAGUCGAACGGCAGCGGGGACUUCGGUCCGCCGGCGAGUGGCGAACGGGUGAGUAAUGUAUCGGAACGUACCUUUCAGUGGGGGAUAACGUAGCGAAAGUUACGCUAAUACCGCAUAUUCUCUGAGGAGGAAAGCAGGGGACCUUCGGGCCUUGUGCUGAUGGAGCGGCCGAUAUCAGAUUAGCUAGUUGGUGAGGUAAAGGCUCACCAAGGCGACGAUCUGUAGCGGGUCUGAGAGGAUGAUCCGCCACACUGGGACUGAGACACGGCCAGACUCCUACGGGAGGCAGCAGUGAGGAAUUUUGGACAAUGGGCGCAAGCCUGAUCCAGCCAUGCCGCGUGAGUGAAGAAGGCCUUCGGGUUGUAAAGCUCUUUCGGACGGGAAGAAAUUGGUGGGGCUAAUAUCCCCAUCGGAUGACGGUACCGUAAUAAGAAGCACCGGCUAACUACGUGCCAGCCGCCGCCGUAAAAC